GACGAACGCUGGCGGCGUGCUUAACACAUGCAAGUCGAACGGAAAGGCCCUGCUUUUGUUGGGUGUUCGAGUGGCGCGCGGGUGAGUAACAUGUGUGUAACCUGCCCUUGCCUUUGGGAUAACUUCUGGAAACUGGGGAUAAUACCGGUUAGGAGCUCUUGCUGCACGGUGUGGGUUGGAUAGUUUCGGCGGUUGGGGAUGGGCUCGAGGGUUAUCGGCUUGCUUGUGGGGUAGUGGCUUUCCAAGGCUUUGACGGGUAGGCGGCCUGUGAGGCUGACCGGACACAUGGGGACUGAGAUACGGCCCAGACGCCGACGGGAGGCAGCAGGGGGGAAUAUAACACAGUGGGCGGAAGCCUGAGGCAGCAACGCCGCGGUCGGGAUGACGGCCUUCUGGUUGUAAACCGCUAUCGCCUUGGACGAAGCGGGAGUGACGGUAAUGGGUAAAGAAGCACCGGCUAACUACGUG
rnacentral:rRNA from 1 species